GCUGGCGGCGCGCUUAACACAUGCAAGUCGAACGAGAAAGGGGAGCAAUCCCUGAGUAAAGUGGCAGACGGGUGAGUAACACGUGGGUCAUCCACUCCUUGAUGGGGGAUAACCCUGGGAAACCGGGGCUAAUACCGCAUAAGUCCGAGAGGAGAAAGGCGAAAGUCGUCGAGGAAGGAGCCCGCGGCCGAUUAGCUAGUUGGUAGGGUAAUGGCCUACCAAGGCUUUGAUCGGUAGCCGGCCUGAGAGGGCACACGGCCACACUGGCACUGAGACACGGGCCAGACUCCUACGGGAGGCAGCAGUGGGGAAUCUUGCACAAUGGGGGAAACCCUGAUGCAGCGACGCCGCGUGAGCGAUGAAGCCCUUCGGGGUGUAAAGCUCUUUCGACGGGAACGAUAAUGACGGUACCCGGAGAAGAAGCUGCGGCUAACUACGUGCCAGCAGCCGCGGUAAUACGUAGGCAGCAAGCGUUGUUCGGAGUUACUGGGCGUAAAGAGUGUGUAGGCGGUUCGCUAAGUCUGGUGUGAAAUCUCCUGGCUUAACUGGGAGGGUGCGCCGGAAACUGACGGGCUAGAGUAUGGGAGAGGGAAGCGGAAUUCCUGGUGUAGCGGUGAAAUGCGUAGAUAUCAGGAGGAACACCGGUGGUGUAGACGGCUUCCUGGACCAUAACUGACGCUGAGACACGAAAGCGUGGGGAGCAAACAGGAUUAGAUACCCUGGUAGUCCACGCCCUAAACGAUGCGAACUGGAUGUUGGGUGCAACUAGGCACUCAGUAUCGAAGCUAACGCGUUAAGUU
rnacentral:rRNA from 1 species